rnacentral:sRNA from 1 species
UAGAUGGUUGCGCUUCUCGAGCGUUC